GUGGCAGCCGCCGCGGCAAUACGUAGGGUCCAAGCGUUAAUCAGAAUUACUGGGCGUAAAGCGUGCGCAGGCGGUUGUGCAAGACCGAUGUGAAAUCCCCGGGCUUAACCUGGGAAUUGCAUUGGUGACUGCACGGCUAGAGUGUGUCAGAGGGGGGUAGAAUUCCACGUGUAGCAGUGAAAUGCGUAGAGAUGUGGAGGAAUACCGAUGGCGAAGGCAGCCCCCUGGGAUAACACUGACGCUCAUGCACGAAAGCGUGGGGAGCAAACAGGAUUAGAUACCCUGGUAGUCCACGCCCUAAACGAUGUCAACUAGUUGUUGGGGAUUCAUUUCCUUAGUAACGUAGCUAACGCGUGAAGUUGACCGCCUGGGGAGUACGGUCGCAAGAUUAAAACUCAAAGGUAU
rnacentral:rRNA from 1 species